rnacentral:rRNA from 1 species
GACAGAGGGUGCAAACGUUUGUUCGGAAUUACUGGGCGUAAAGGGCUCGUAGGCGGCCAACUAAGUCAGACGUGAAAUCCCCAGGCUCAACCUGGGAACUGCGUCUGAUACUGGAUGGCUUGAAUCCGGGAGAGGGAUGCAGAAUUCCAGGUGUAGCGGUGAAAUGCGUAGAUAUCUGGAGGAAUACCGGUGGCGAAGGCGGCAUCCUGGACCGGCAUUGACGCUGAGGAGCGAAAGCCAGGGGAGCAAAGCGGG